rnacentral:rRNA from 1 species
CCUACGGGAGGCAGCAGUGAGGAAUAUUGGUCAAUGGUCGGGAGACUGAACCAGCCAAGCCGCGUGAGGGAGGAAGGUACUGUGUAUUGUAAACCUCUUUUGUCAGGGAACAAAGGCGGGCACGUGUGCCCGGAUGAGUGUACCUGAAGAAAAAGCAUCGGCUAACUCCGUGCCAGCAGCCGCGGUAAUACGGAAGGUGCGGGCGUUAUCCGGAUUUAUUGGGGUUAAAGGGUGCGCAGGCGGUCUGUUAAGGCUGUGGGGAAAGGCCGCGGCUCAACCGCGGCCCGGCAGUGGAACUUGGCGGUCUCGAGUUGGCGAGAGGUAGGCGGAAUGCGUGGUGUAGCGGUGAAAUGCAUAGAUAUCGCGCAGAACUCCGAUUGCGAAGGCAGCAUGCCG